UGCCGUUAGAUGUUCUGGGCUGCACGCGCGCUACACUGAUGUACUCACUGAGUGCCCCAUCUUGCCUGUAGAGGUUGGGCAGUCUUGCAAACCUACGUCGUGAUGGGGAUGGAUCAUUGCAACUAUUGCUCCUGAACGAGGAAUUCCUAGUAAAUGUAUGUCAUCAACUUGCAUUGAUUGUGUCCCUGCCUUUUGUACACACCGCCCGUCGCUCCUACCGAUUGAGUGGUCCGGU
rnacentral:rRNA from 1 species